rnacentral:rRNA from 1 species
ACGCUCGACACCUACGGGACAGCAGUGGGGAAUAUUGCACAAUGGGGGGAAACCCUGAUGCAGCGACGCCGCGUGGAGGAAGAAGGUCUUCGGAUUGUAAACUCCUGUUGUUGGGGAAAAAGAGGAUGGUACCCAACAAGGAAGUGACGGCUAACUACGUGCCAGUAGCCGCGGUAAUCUGAGCGGGCUGGCAAGGC